rnacentral:rRNA from 1 species
UGGGGAAUAUUGCACAAUGGGCGCAAGCCUGAUGCAGCCAUGCCGCGUGUAUGAAGAAGGCCUUCGGGUUGUAAAGUACUUUCAGCGGGGAGGAAGGCGAUAAGGUUAAUAACCUUGUCGAUUGAUGUUACCCGCAGAAGAAGCACCGGCUAACUCCGUGCCAGCAGCCGCGGUAAUACGGAGGGUGCAAGCGUUAAUCGGAAUUACUGGGCGUAAAGCGCACGCAGGCGGUCUGUCAAGUCGGAUGUGAAAUCCCCGGGCUCAACCUGGGAACUGCAUUCGAAACUGGCAGGCUAGAGUCUUGUAGAGGGGGGUAGAAUUCCAGGUGUAGCGGUGAAAUGCGUAGAGAUCUGGAGGAAUACCGGUGGCGAAGGCGGCCCCCUGGACAAAGACUGACGCUCAGGUGCGAAAGCGUGGGGAGCAAACA